rnacentral:rRNA from 1 species
UGGGGAAUAUUGCACAAUGGGGGAAACCCUGAUGCAGCCAUGCCGCGUGUAUGAAGAAGGCCUUCGGGUUGUAAAGUACUUUCAGUUGUGAGGAAGGCAGUAAAGUUAAUAGCUUUGCUGUUUGACGUUAGCAACAGAAGAAGCACCGGCUAACUCCGUGCCAGCAGCCGCGGUAAUACGGAGGGUGCGAGCGUUAAUCGGAAUUACUGGGCGUAAAGCGCAUGCAGGUGGUUUGUUAAGCAAGAUGUGAAAGCCCGGGGCUCAACCUCGGAACAGCAUUUUGAACUGGCAGACUAGAGUACUGUAGAGGGGGGUAGAAUUUCAGGUGUAGCGGUGAAAUGCGUAGAGAUCUGAAGGAAUACCGGUGGCGAAGGCGGCCCCCUGGACAGAUACUGACACUCAGAUGCGAAAGCGUGGGGAGCAAACAGG